rnacentral:rRNA from 1 species
AGGGGGCGAGCGUUAUCCGGAUUCAUUGGGCGUAAAGCGCUCGUAGGCGGUCCGUUAGGUCGGGAGUCAAAGCCGGGGGCUCAACCCCCGCCCGCUCCCGAUACCGGCGGACUUGAGUGUGGUAGGGGAAGGCGGAACUCCGAGUGUAGCGGUGGAAUGCGCAGAUAUUCGGAAGAACACCGGUGGCGAAGGCGGCCUUCUGGGCCAGCACUGACGCUGAGGAGCGAAAGCUAGGGGAGCGAAC